AGCGAACGCUGGCGGCAUGCUUUACGCAUGCAAGUCGAACGGUAACAGGGUGCUUGCACCGCUGACGAGUGGCGAACGGGUGAGUAAUGCGUCGGAACGUGCCGAGUAGUGGGGGAUAACGCAGCGAAAGUUGUGCUAAUACCGCAUACGUACUGAGGUAGAAAGUGGGGGACCUUCGGGCCUCACGCUAUUCGAGCGGCCGACGUCUGAUUAGCUAGUAGGUGAGGUAAAGGCUCACCUAGGCGACGAUCAGUAGCGGGUCUGAGAGGAUGAUCCGCCGCACUGGGACUGAGACACGGCCCAGACUCCUACGGGAGGCAGCAGUGGGGAAUUUUGGACAAUGGGCGAAAGCCUGAUCCAGCCAUGCCGCGUGUCUGAAGAAGGCCUUCGGGUUGUAAAGGACUUUUGUCAGGGAGGAAAUCCCUAGUGCUAAUAACACUGGGGGAUGACAGUACCUGAAGAAUAAGCACCGGCUAACUACGUGCCAGCCGCCGCGGUAAAAC
rnacentral:rRNA from 1 species